UUUCCUAAUAAUAUCUUUAUUCUGAUGUUAAUAUCCCAUCUAUAAUUCAAAGGUCAUAAUGUUCGCUGUAUACAUGAAUUAAUCGAUAAUAAAAAUCUCAAUUUUAAAAUGGAAAUUAAAUUGUCAUGGAAAUCCUAAGUGACGAAAAUUCGAGUGACGAACUAGAAAAUAGGGGGUUCGUAAAGGCAACGUCGCAGAUCGUCUUGGGAAAUCGUGAUGACUAUUUAGGAAACAUUCUGCUCGGAUUCUAGUGUCAAUUGCUCGGUCAAUUGUUAUAUUUAGUGGCGUUGCAUACAUCGUCUUCAGGUUGAGGUGCCAAAUUUAUUACAGCAUAGAAUGUUUCGCCACCUACGGCAGGAGCUCAAAAUGAGAACAGCCUCAGUUCAAAUUCGCCCUAGAAUCAAUUCAACCACAUCGUAGGUAUAUAACAUUUUUUAUGCGAACUUCAUAGAGUUCACUCUGUGUUUUCGAUUGCCUGAAGGUCGGACAUGAAAAAUUACGACAUCCAAAUGUGAGAGACGCAUGCAUGGGGUGAAGAUACGCAACAUGGCAUCAUUCCGCUGGGCGUGUUGUCAAGCGGAUAAAAACACAACUUACAGCGAC